AGCAGUAGCCGCGGUAAUACGUAGGGUGCAAGCGUUAAUCGGAAUUACUGGGCGUAAAGCGUGCGCAGGCGGUUUGUUAAGUCAGAUGUGAAAUCCCCGGGCUCAACCUGGGAACUGCAUUUGAAACUGGCAAGCUAGAGUCUCGUAGAGGGGGGUAGAAUUCCAGGUGUAGCGGUGAAAUGCGUAGAGAUCUGGAGGAAUACCGGUGGCGAAGGCGGCCCCCUGGACGAAGACUGACGCUCAGGUGCGAAAGCGUGGGGAGCAAACAGGAUUAGAUACCCCAGUAGUCCCUGUCUCUUAUAC
rnacentral:rRNA from 1 species